rnacentral:rRNA from 1 species
UACGGGGGGAGCAAGCGUUGUUCGGAUUUACUGGGCGUAAAGGGCGCGUAGGCGGUCGUGACAAGUCACUUGUGAAAUCUCCGGGCUUAACUCGGAACGGUCAAGUGAUACUGUCGGACUAGAGUACAGAAGGGGCAACUGGAAUUCUCGGUGUAGCGGUGAAAUGCGUAGAUAUCGAGAGGAACACCUGCGGCGAAGGCGGGUUGCUGGGCUGAUACUGACGUGAGGCGCGAAAGCCAAGGGGAGCGAACGGG